GUCCACUUAAACAACUACACUUCUGUCAUAAUUGAACUGAGACGACAGUCCAUUGUGAAGGAACUCCAGAAGUUGAGAAAUCCAUUCUCUGAGGAAGACGAAGACACUGUAUCCAGGAACUUGCUGCUUACACUCCUCACAACUGAAGGGAUUCAUUUCACUGAAGUGUCAAAAUGGUUCAGCUACGGUUCCCUAGGAACAGUACUAUCCAGAGAACUUUACAAGGAAUUGUUUGUUGAAAGAUGCUUAGAGAAAAAGACUGACAUCUGCUCAUCCACGAUUCCAUACAUUCAAAAUUUAGAUACAAACUUUGGAUCAGUUCAGGUAA